GAUCAUGGCUCAGGACGAACGCUGGCGGCGUGCCUAACACAUGCAAGUCGAACGAGAAUCUUUGGAAUGAUUCUUUCGGGAUGAAUUCCAAAGAGGAAAGUGGCGGACGGGCGAGUAACGCGUGAGUAACCUGCCCAUAAGAGGGGGAUAAUCCAUGGAAACGUGGACUAAUACCGCAUAUUGUAGUUAAGUUGCAUGACUUGAUUAUGAAAGAUUUAUCGCUUAUGGAUGGACUCGCG
rnacentral:rRNA from 1 species